GGGGGGGGAAAGAAAAAAAAAAGAAAAGAAAGAAAAUCUUCUCCAAUGAAUCUCCGAUUCACCGGCGGGGCCCCGCCGCCGAGGUAUUUAGAGCGCAGCCCGCCGGGGGCUCCCCGGCUACCAUGACCCGCCGGAUAAGGUGCACUGUCCGCUUUCGGCUCGCCCGCAGCCCCUGCCGGGCCCAGGCUCUGUGCUGCCGCAUCCUUCGUGGUGGCGGAGGGGCUGCGGCGCGGCGCUGGCUGGCCCGGCGGCUGGCCCGGUUGCUGGCCCGGUUGCUGGCCCAGUGGAGACGGUGCCGCGGGAGCCUCAGACAAGCUCGGAGACAGUGAACCCCGAAUUUACAGUAUUUAGGGCCACAGUUUACAGGAAGAGGAAGGCUUCUUAUUCGAAUUAGGUGGAGACGGGUCCUAUUCUCAAGCUUUGUCCGAAAUUAAAUUGUUUAAUUAAAUAGAUGGAACAAAUAACAUUUUAACACUCCUCAAGCUGUGUGUGAGAGAGAAAUUCUUUAAUUCAGGGUCCACGAAGCUGCUUCUGAACCACGAGAGGGUCCGAGGCAGGCACCGACAGCCAAAAACUGGUUUAUAGAGGCAAUCCUACAACCGCUCACCCUGGCAGAGCACUGGCCACGUCGUGACAUUGUUUUCUUGCUCUUGCAACCUCUAAAACUGUUUAGUUCUUAGGGUGAUGUGAGAACGCUUAUUUGUUUUGCCUUUUGUGUGUUUAUUACUUGUCUUCGCUUUGCUAUUUGGUUUAGAUUUGUUGUUUGUUCUGCUGUUUUUCUUUUUCAAGAAGGGAAUAUUUUGCCUGGCGAAUGCCUACCUUUUGUGAACUUUUAUGUUAUUAUCCGGAGCUAUUAUGUCGUUUUACUUCCCGAUAACUCCAUAGUUCAAAACGAGGGACCGGAAUAAUACACAUCUGAAAUUUUCUAGAGGGUUUGUACCAAAAAUAGAAAAAUAUCGAGGGCUAUAUUCACAGAUGUUUUUAGGGCAGCAUAUUACAUUCAGGAAAGCACUCUGCUGAAGUUUGUAUCACACGACUUGGGAAACAGA